UUAACAUUUACAUCAUAAUUUAUCAAAUUGGCAUUAUUUUGCAUCUCUCUUCCACCUCUAUUUUGUGUUAUAUUUGUAGGGACAAUCCAAAAUAUGCACUGGGGUAAAAUCGAAAAGAAAAAAAAAGAAUAUUAAUCAAUUUUUUUAAAAAAAACUGACUUAUUUUCCAUGCAUAUUACUACUACACAGAAACAUGCACCCGAAAAAAAAUUAAAUUUUUCUUGCCACCCACAACCCCACCCCCCACCCUACCCC
rnacentral:lncRNA from 1 species